rnacentral:lncRNA from 1 species
GCAGAGCCAUGGCCCUCUUCUUUGUUCUCUGCUGGAUCCAAGAGUCGGGGGUCUCCCUAUGUUUCCCAGGCUGGCCUCGAACUCCUGACCUCAAGUGAUCCUCCCACCUCAGCCUCCCCGAGUGCUGGGAUUAAAGACGUGAGCCACGGCACCUGGCCUGAAUUUUCCUCAAAUUCAAAAAAUCCUGAUGAAGGUUUGGCUAAAAUCUUUGAUGAAAUUGUGCUCCAAGUGUUUUCCAAGGUUCCGUAUGACCCAUCAUUUGAUGAAACAAGAACAGCAGUCAGAUCCAUUACAAAGAGAGACACACAAAAAAGCAAGCUAUUCCCAACAGAAGAGCUUGAACAAUGCUGCAUUUGCAUCAGGUUCAAAUGAGCGAGAGGAACAUUUGGCUAAAAUAUUUGGAACCAGCAUUGCUUGGAAUUCUCCUAAACCAGAAUAUUUCCUUGGCAGUGUGGACAAAAUUCCUGAUAAAGAUCACCUUUCAGAGGAGAAGAAUUUUAAAGAAUCCUGUCUGUUCGACAGGGAUUUAAGAGAGCAGUUAACUACUAUAGAUAAAGAAACACUUCAAGGAGCAGCUAAACCAGAUCUCCUCUGGCAAACACGACAUAUAAUAUUUUUAUAAUGGAUGGAAAGACAUGGUGGCACAAUUCUGAAGAAAAAAAUUUCACAAAACUUGCAAAAAAACAGAAACAGUUGAAGA